AGGACCGCCGCUCCGGAGCCCGCCGGAGCUAUCCGUGUGGCGCCGAGAGCCGCCGCUUGGGAUAUGCGACGGGAAACCCCCGCCACAGCGCAGGCAGCGGCCCCGCGGCGCCGGGGAGAGCCCAGCGAGAGCAGAUUGAUCCUUCAGAGGAAUCGUCCCUGACUCCGUCCCUACACUGAGCUAAAACUGCUUCCCAGGUGGAACACUGUUCCGGGGAGAGCUCUGAGGAUUUCCUGAAGAAGAAUUCCAUGGGGACUGUACCUGACCCUUUGAGAUCAGCUAAAACUUCCUUGAUCACAGCUUCUGGAAAAGAAGAGGAUCUAGGAGAAGUGCAGCCUGCCUCCCCUCGGUCUCCACCAGCCGUCUUGUGUGAGAACACCAAUGGCCUUUCCAGCACUCCUGCAGAGCCAGACCUCAGCCCCAGUGCAGCUGCUGAGGUCCUGAUGCAGGCCUUUGAGCAUGAGACCACCCAGCCAGACAUGUCUUCUCCUGGUGUCUUCAAUGAGGUGGAAAAAGUGUCUCCUCCAUGCAGUUCUGACAAUACCCAGCUGCCAGGAAGCAGUGAGCCCACAGCACCAGCCCCAUGUUCUGCAGCAGGAAAGGAUCUCAUAGAUGAAGCAUUUACAAUGCCAGCCAACCAACACACCCACCAGGCGACCCCAAGUGACCAGCUCAAUGCCAGCCCCUUAUCAGGACCUGAAGAUACUCUGCUGAAAACACAGAGAACCUCGGAUGGGGAGAUUCUUGAAAAACCUGAAAAGUCACAUUGCCCUGUGGGAAGCACCCAGAGCAACAGCAAAGACCAAGUGCCCUGUGAUUUUUCUUCUCAGAAAACAAUCCAGGGAAUGCUGCAGACUGCAAAUACAGCAGCCAAGGUGUUCAGUCACCCCUCGUCUCCUGUAGGCCAACCCAAAGGGGCAAGGCCAGGAGCCAUAUGCGACUCCCAGACAAGGUCCUCUGACUCUCCCGCAAAAGAAGGAUGUUCAGGGAACAAACACACUUCAGCCACCACCUCAGACAGCCAGUCCGUGACUACUGUGACACCUCAACCACCCCACCUCACUAGCAAAGUCUCCACACGUCCUCCAGAUCAGGUGUCAAGGUUCAAAGAAGCAAGUACAAUGACCAACGAAGCUGCAAGUGAGGUCACGGAAGCUCCCGACAGGGCUCGGCAAGAUGCUGGGGUGCAGGCAGUGGCAAGUGUGGAGAGCAGAUCGGUCUCCACCAGCCCCAGCAUCCUCGCUGCAUUCUUAAAGGAAACCCCAAUUCCUGAGCGUUUGGAACAAGAGCAGCUGCGUGUCAUUUGCAAUGGCAGCGGCAGUGGGAGCCACACGCUGGAGCUAUCUGACAACAUCCACUCCCCCCAAGGGCCAGGUCCGUGCCCCAGCAUCAUGCCAGAAGUGCACAUCCAGGCAGCUGCCGCUGUUUCCACAGCUCUCCAAGGGGAAUGCAAAUUGGUGAGCUUACCGAGUGAGGUCCUUAAGAUCUCAUCCAUCACCGUGGCAUCCGGUAAUACUCAGGAUCUGUGUAAGAAAGAUACAGGGUCUGCGGGAAUGACCCCAGCAAGGGAAGAGCCCACCUCUAAACAGCUUUCAGGUGUGAAUUCCAGGUCCCUGAAAGCCAGCCCCACUGACCAGAUUUCUUUCAGCGCGGGAAGUCAAACCGAAACAAAUCAUGAAUUGAGGAAAGUUGAAACCAAGCCAUCUGAGUUUGCAGUGAAAACCACAGAUGGUCACGAAACAAACCCAGACUGCCAACUCUCUGACUCUUGUAGUCCUGCCAACAAAGCCGACCAGCUCGGGAGCCUGGAUCCCACUGACAAAGGAGAUGCAAGAGAGAAGCAGCCGGCAUCUCCUCAGAUAGUAAAACAAGAAUGUAGAGGCACCGAUAUCCUUGAUGCCAGGGCCAGGGCAGAGGCCAAAACCCUGCUGCUCAAUCCUAAAUCUCAAGAAAGUGGAGGCACUGGGUCAGCUGCUAGUCCUACGCCCUCCCCAGUGAGAAAGAACCAGGAGGGUACCCUGGAGGAAAAUAGACAGACCAAGACAGCCACCAGCCUGAGUCUCCCAUCCGAUUCCAUGGGUGACUCCAGUCCAGGUUCUGGCAAGAGGACCCCUUCUCGCCUGGUCAAAGCCAGUCCACGGCGGGCCAGCCGAGUCAGCGAGUUCCUCAAGGAGCAAAAGUUAAAUGUGACCGCGGCUGCCGCCCAGGUGGGACUCACCCCAGGAGAGAAGAAAAAGCAGCUGGGCGCCGACUCCAAGCUGCAGUUGAAACAGUCCAAGCGUGUCAGGGACGUCGUGUGGGAUGAGCAGGGCAUGACCUGGGAAGUGUAUGGUGCCUCCCUGGACCCAGAGUCCCUGGGUAUCGCAAUCCAGAACCAUCUACAAAGACAAAUCAGGGAACAUGAGAAAUUAAUCAAAGCUCAAAACAGCCAGACCCGGAGAUCCAUUUCCUCAGAUACUUCUUCAAAUAAAAAGCUCAAAGGAAGGCAGCACAGUGUUUUACAGUCCAUGCUGCAGAACUUUCGACGCCCCAACUGCUGUGUUCGUCCUGCCCCUUCUUCUGUGCUAGACUGAAAGAGAAUGUGAGUUCCCAUCAUUCUGAGAAUACCUGUAUAUACCACAUGAAGAAUAUAAUAUCCUGUGACUUUACACUUUGUUUACAGAGGAUAUAUAUGAGUAUGCUGUUAAUGUAAAUUGUUUGGCCUUUGCUGUAUCCACUGUUACUGUUUUGCUGCCAAAAUGUGAGAAAUUAUCUUCUAUUCCUCCUACAUAUUGUGCAAGUGUUAAAAAACUGGUCCAUUUCUAGUACCAGAUAAUUCACCACAUCUCUUGUCUACUUUUUAAGAAUCAGUAUAAAGAAAAACAAUACAUUAGGAUAAGGUUUGCAUAUAUGUAUAUGUGUUUUUACUGACACUUGGGCACUUGUAGCCUUGUGUGGGCCUCUUCCUGUCUGAUUUACUAAUCGGCUACGAUGCUGCCAUGGAGAUGAUACUGUUUACUCUCUCCUGCUUUGUCCUAAACGGUAUUUGAGAAAUGAAGCCUGUGAAUUUCCCUUUGUGAUGAUAAUACAGUGAACUCAGCAGUAUCUUGGAUAAUUGAGCUGACCAUCUUGUCCCCACCCCUGUUUUGUCUACACAGUGAAUCAGAAGUCUUGUCCAGGUCUGCUUCAGUGUUUGCUAUUUUAUAUUGAUAUUCGAGCAUUUUGUUUUCUGUGAGCAACGUUCUUGGAUGCUGUGUGUGGCCCUUUUGGUUGAAUCUCUCCAAAUGUGGGUCAGCUGCUGCCACCUGGCAGAUAACAGAUGAUGUUGGCAGGAUAAUAGAAUAUGAGCAUUUGGGAGUUCCGUCAAGUGGACUCAAGUAAAUUCCUAUUACUGAUAACAGGUAAUACUGUGUGGACUAGAUAACAAGAUGAGAGACAUUAGCCAGCAAAUGUCAACACCGGACAACACUUGUCAACUUAUCACAAUUCUAAUCAGUGAACUGAUGUUUGAGUUUCUCUCAUUUUUCCUAAAAGGAAAUACUCUAUUAGAGAUCAAAAAGUCUGAUCUGGUUCCUGAAAUCUAAUGUAAUUUGACCCUGAUUCCUUGACACUAAAAAUUAUGUUGCCUGGGUAUUAGGUUGAAGAUAUAAAUGGACAUAUAAGAGUUUCCAUUAAUAGAGAACUCCAUGUGGCAAAGUGCAAAUAUAACCAUUUCUCAGUAGAAAGUUAAUAAUAUUUAAUAUGUAUUUAUGUUUUGGAGAAUUAAUGUGCCAUCUUUGUAUCUUAGAUAAAAAUAAAAGGCUAACCAAUCAUAAGAACACUGUAACUAUAGCUGGCUGUAUUUUUAAACUACUAAAACCAUACUUGUUUAUAAGAGCAGAAUAUGUGAAAUCUUGAUGUUUGUCAAUAUUUACUGUUGCUUAAAAGAUAAAUUCAUGUAAUUAUUUUGGACGAUGUAUAUUAAUUUAAAUGCCACCCAGAAAAAUUAUAGCUGUCAAUGUGAAAAUCAUUUGUGUGUGUUAAUACUCAGCUGAGAAAGACCAAAAGUGUAGUGUAAUGUUAAAUCUCUGAAAAAAACAGUAGUACUCAAAGUGAAAUUCCAUUUAUGAAUGUAUCAAUAUUAGAAUCUAAAUUUAUAUCUUUUCAUGAUGUCUAUAUAUGAAAGUCAUAAAAUUGUUUAUUCAAGAAAGUCCCCAUCCUCCAGAAAUUGACCUACCAAUAAAAUUUUAUUUCCUAGAAAAAAAAAGAUGGAAUAUUAGGAUUUAAAUAAGGAUAGAUCAAGAUUUUGGAAUUAUAUACACUUCUCUCAUUUUGAAUUUGACUUUUGAAUGAAGGAAGGAAGGAAAUUCGACGGAUGACUUUGUUUUACCCUCAAAAAAUUUUAAGUAUGAUUUUUUGCAUUUCAUUUUCCAUAAUAAACAUAA